rnacentral:rRNA from 1 species
ACUCCUACGGGAGGCAGCAGCAAGGAAUUUUCCGCAAUGGGGGCAACCCUGACGGAGCAACGCCGCGUGACGGAUGACGCCUCUUGGGGUGUAAACGUCUUUUGCCGAGGGAGAGAAUGGACGGUACUCGGCGAAUCAGGACCGGCUAACUACGUGCCAGCAGCCGCGGUAAU